AGGUGGUUAGGUAGAGAAUACCAAGGCGAUCGAGUGAAUCGUGGUUAAGGAACUCGGCAAAAUACCCCCGUAACUUCGGGAGAAGGGGGGCCCAGAGGGUGACGGAGACUAGCGCUCCUGAGCCUGAACGGCCGCAGAGACCAGGGAGAAGCGACUGUCUACUAAAAACACAGGUCCGUGCCAAGUCGCAAGACGAUGUAUACGGACUGACGCCUGCCCGGUGCUGGAACGUUAAGGGGACCGGUCAGCCUCACGGCGAAGCUGAGAACUUAAGCGCCAGUAAACGGCGGUGGUAACUAUAACCAUCCUAAGGUAGCGAAAUUCCUUGUCGGGUAAGUUCCGACCUGCACGAAUGGCGUAACGACUUCUCCACUGUCUCAACCACGAACUCGGCGAAAUUGCACUACGAGUAAAGAUGCUCGUUACGCGCAGAAGGACGGAAAGACCCCGGGACCUUUACUACAGCUUGGUAAUGGUGUUCGGAACGGCUUGUGUAGGAUCGGUGGGAGGCUUCGAAGCUGAUACGCCAGUAUCGGUGGAGCCAACGUUGAAAUACCACUCUGGUCGUUCUGGAUGUCUAACCUAGGUCCGUAAUCCGGAUCAGGGACAGUGCCUGGUGGGUAGUUUAACUGGGGCGGUUGCCUCCUAAAAGGUAACGGAGGCGCCCAAAGGUUCCCUCAGCCUGGUUGGCAAUCAGGUUUUGAGUGUAAGUGCACAAGGGAGCUUGACUGUGAGACUGACAAGUCGAACAGGGACGAAAGUCGGGACUAGUGAUCCGGCGGUGGCUUGUGGAAGCGCCGUCGCUCAACGGAUAAAAGGUACCCCGGGGAUAACAGGCUGAUCUUGCCCAAGAGUCCAUAUCGACGGCAUGGUUUGGCACCUCGAUGUCGGCUCGUCGCAUCCUGGGGCUGGAGUAGGUCCCAAGGGUUGGGCUGUUCGCCCAUUAAAGCGGUACGCGAGCUGGGUUUAGAACGUCGUGAGACAGUUCGGUCCCUAUCCUCUGCGCGCGCAGGAAACUUGAGAAGAGCUGUCCCUAGUACGAGAGGACCGGGAUGGACGAACCUCUGGUGUGUCAGUUGUUCUGCCAAGAGCACCGCUGAUUAGCUACGUUCGGAAGUGAUAACCGCUGAAAGCAUCUAAGCGGGAAGCAUGCUUCAAGAUGAGGUUUCCAUGGGGUUUACCCCGAGAGGCUCCCAGCUAGACUACUGGGUUGAUAGGCCGGAUGUGGAAGUGCGGUAACGCACGGAGCUGACCGGUACUAAUAAGCCGAUAACUUGACC
rnacentral:rRNA from 1 species